UAUUCCGAGGAGCGCUGCGAGAGGUUAAGCUACACUCCCAGGCUCGGAACAGCGUUUCAAACGGCGUUCACCUUAC
rnacentral:ncRNA from 2 species